rnacentral:lncRNA from 1 species
AGGGCGAACUUGGACUUGUUGGAGGAGAUGUGAGAGCAAGCUCGACUUUGAAUGAUGACUUGCAAGUAGAAAGUGGCUUAGUACUAAAGAAUCAGAGGAAAAGCCUCUUGAGUAAGGGAGCUCAUCAUGCAAAGAGCUGAAGUGUCUCAUCCAAUAAAAUAAGGAAAGCUAUUGCCAAACUGGAAGAGCCCAUAUCAUGUCAACGAGAUGGUGUGCCCAAGAACAUACCAACUUUGUCGAUUAGAUGGAA